UACGUAGGGGCCUAGCGUUGUCCGGAAUUAUUGGGCGUAAAGCGCUUGUAGGCGGCUUGUUAAGUCGCGUGUGAAAUCCCCAGGCUCAACCUGGGAAGUGCGCGCGAAACUGGCGAGCUUGAAUGCCGGAGAGGGUCGCGGAAUUCCCGGUGUAGAGGUGAAAUUCGUAGAUAUCGGGAGGAACACCAGUGGCGAAGGCGGCGACCUGGACGGACAUUGACGCUGAGACGCGAAAGCGUGGGGAGCAAACAGG
rnacentral:rRNA from 1 species